rnacentral:rRNA from 1 species
UUUAAUUCGAAGCAGCGCGAAGAACCUUACCAGGUCUUGACAUCCUCUGAAAACCCUAGAGAUAGGGCCUCUCCUUCGGGAGCAGAGUGACAGGUGGUGCAUGGAUGUCGUCAGCUCGUGUCGUGAGAUGUUGGGUUAAGUCCCGCAACGAGCGCAACCCUUGAUCUUAGUUGCCAUCAUUAAGUUGGGCACUCUAAGGUGACUGCCGGUGACAAACCGGAGGAAGGUGGGGAUGACGUCAAAUCAUCAUGCCCCUUAUGACCUGGGCUACACACGUGCUACAAUGGACGGUACAAAGAGCUGCAAGACCGCGAGGUGGAGCUAAUCUCAUAAAACCGUUCUCAGUUCGGAUUGUAGGCUGCAACUCGCCUACAUGAAGCUGGAAUCGCUAGUAAUCGCGGAUCAGCAUGCCGCGGUGAAUACGUUCCCGGGCCUUGUACACACCGCCCGUCAACACCACGAGAGUUUGUAACACCCGAAGUCGGUGGGGUAACAUCNUGGAGCCAGCCGNCAUCUAGUNGGACUAGCGGGA